rnacentral:rRNA from 1 species
AUGAACGCUAGCGACAGGCCUAACACAUGCAAGCGAGGGCAGCACAAGGAGCAAUCUGAGGUGGCGACCGGCGCACGGGUGAGUAACACGUAUGCAACCUGCCUGUAAGCGGGGAAUAACCCGUUGAAAGACGGACUAAUACCGCAUAAUACUAAAUUACUGCAUGGUAAUUUAUUUAAACAUUUAUGGCUUACAGAUGGGCAUGCGCAUGAUUAGCUAGUUGGAGAGGUAACGGCUCCCCAAGGCAACGAUCAUUAGGGGUUCUGAGAGGAAGGUCCCCCACACUGGUACUGAGACACGGACCAGACUCCUACGGGAGGCAGCAGUGAGGAAUAUUGGUCAAUGGACGAGAGUCUGAACCAGCCAAGUCGCGUGCAGGAAGAAUGUCCUUAAUGGAUUGUAAACUGCUUUUGCAGGGGAAUAAAGUGCAUCACGUGUGAUGUUUUGUAUGUACUCUGCGAAUAAGGAUCGGCUAACUCCGUGCCAGCAGCCGC